UACAGAGGUCCCAAGCGUUGUUCGGAUUCACUGGGCGUAAAGGGUGCGUAGGCGGUUGGGUAAGUCUGAUGUGAAAUCUCACAGCUUAACUGUGAAACUGCAUUGGAUACUAUCCAACUCGAGGAAUGGAGGGGAGACUGGAAUACUUGGUGUAGCAGUGAAAUGCGUAGAUAUCAAGUGGAACACCAGUGGCGAAGGCGAGGCUCUGGACAUUUCCUGACGCUGAGGCACGAAAGCCAGGGGAGCAAACGGG
rnacentral:rRNA from 1 species